rnacentral:lncRNA from 1 species
UUUCUCAGAGAAUGAUUUUUUUGAUAAUAAUAUAUAGAGAGAUUUUUACAUAAUGAUUCAAUAAGUUAACAAAUGAAAUUAAACUCCCCUCAUGAAUAAUAAUUAAAACUCACGGCUCCAUCCUUCUCGUCAACCUAUUACAGCAUAUAUCGAUUGCAUAGGUUUGCAGUACAAUUCAUACAUGGAGCUUGAUAUCAAAGACGAGUAAGUUCAGAGCUUCUGGUGGUUUUUUCAAUUUCAAUUCAACAUCAGCAAUGUAUUUUAAAUUUAACUUAAAGUUAUCUGAGGAUGGGAUAAAACUGUUAUCAUCUUUUGAAACAUUCUAGUGGUUAGAUUUUAUCUCAAAUUUAGAAAUGAAAGUAGCACCCCGUCCUCUUAGUGGGAUUAUCUUUUUCGUGAAUGAUAUAGACUUUUCUAUCUUAAUCAUAACUUUUCUUUUAGCCACAGCAGAUUCAGUGACAUAUAUUAUAUAGUUUUGAGAUCUUCAAUGGAAGCGUUCCCGAUCAAAUUCCAUCAUGCUUCAAAUUCUUUUACAGCUCUCUUCUCUCUAGCUGAUGCAUUUUUCAAAUUAACUGGAUAUUCUCUACCAUGUUUCUGAAACUCACGAACAAGUUCAAUAUGUAGUCUCUUUCGAAGUUCCCCUUGUGGUAUAGCUUCCUUUUUCUUCUUGAAAGAUAUCUUAACCGCGAGUGCCCUUCUCACCAUUCUCAUAAGAAUCAUGACACUUUGGAGGUCUUGCUCAUCCAUCUAUUGUACUUUCUUAUUUAUUUGAAUGGUGAAUAACUUAAUAUCUUCCUUACUUGAAUGCUCUUCUGGUGUAAUUCGGUGGGCAGUUACUGCAAAUCCUAUAGCAAACAAAGUAAUCAAACCAAACAAGAUGGAGAUCUUCGCCAUGAUUAUUUUUAUUAUUCUAUAUAUGAGAGGAGUGAGUUUUUAUUUUGCUUUUUGGGAUUUAUAUAUAAAUUUAAAUGCUCUAAAUAUAGAUAUUUUUUAAUAAAAAAAAAGUUAAAAAAUAGGAAUUAAAACCAACGGAUCAUUUUCGAUAUUUAAGAUCAACCAACAAUAAAAUUUAAAGUUAAAAUCUCUAAGUAACAAAAUUCUGGUCUAGGUAUACUAAUUAAAGUACAAAAGAAUUAAUCAAUAUAUUUUUCUUAAAGAACAUGCAGGUAUACUUUUGUUAAUGGAUCAAGGGUAAGCAUUAUAUGAAUUUUGUAAACUAAAAAAUCCUCAUUUUCAAUUAAAAUUAUUAAGUUGGAUUUAAUUGGGGUACAUGAAAACAAAAAUAAACUAGAACACUUACGCAUAAACAUAUAUAUAUAUAUAUAUAUACAUACAUAUAUACAUAUAUAUACUCCAACACCAGGCACAAUUUUUUUCCAGACCCUGCUCCAUCUUUCUUCAUGAGAAAAUCUUUACCACAAUAGGUUUACGUAACAGUUAAAGUGUUGGCUUUUUUUAUUUUUAAAUUACAAAUUGUUUUUAAUAACACUACUCUUCAUAUCGAAUUUGUACAUUAUUUUCUCAAAUAUUUCAAUUUCUUUUGUUAUUUUUGUUCUGAAAUUGAAAUUAAAUUUCUUUUCAUUGUUCAACAUAGUGUAAAAAUAUGAUUAUUUUUUUAUUAUGAUUGUGACAGAUAUAUUAUUACAAUAAAUAAGCAUAUAAUUACUUACAGUAAAAAAUAUAAUUUUUUAUUUUCAUGAACUUCGUAGAUAUGUUAUUGCAGUAAAUAAUUAUAUUAUUGUUUUAUUUAAUUAUCUUAUAAAUCAAAAAAAUUAUCCACUUCAUUUCUAAUUUCAACAUUUUUUUUUUUUCAAAAUUUUCGACAUUUUUCUUACCAUGAAUGCUUUAAUGAAAAUAUAGAAUUUGUAAAUACAUACUUUAAAUGCAGAAGUAAACAACAAUUUUAGCAUUUACAUUACUUAUACAGUAAAUUAGAAUACCUAAUAGGAUUACGAGAAUGUCUUUUCUACAGCAGUUUGUAAAAAAAAAAUGAGUAAGUGAUUAAAAACAAGUAAAUAAAUGUUCUAAGAAGUUAAUCUCCACUAGUAUUUGAUGAGGUCCGGGAGGUAAUCUAUUCACAACUCUUUUACUGAUCAGGAUCUGGAUCCUAAUCUUUUUUUAUCUAAAAUGGUUAAUAGAAGGGUGAGCUAUACUAACUAGUAAGAAUAUCACACUAAUAACUGAUAUAGAAACUAAAUGUUAGUAAAAAUCAUAAAAUAACUAAUGGAGUCCUUAAUUUAAGUAAAUUCAUUUAACAUGAAAAAAAAUGUUUAUUUCAUACUUACCGUUACGAGUUUUCCAAAAUCAACCUAUAAAUACAAUUACUCAGAUAACAUUAUGAUUUUAUUUACAAGCUAGCAAGAAUGGUAAUUUUUUCUUUUUACAUACUUAUUGGAACCUAUAGGGGUUCAUAGAGAUAUUCUCUUAUUCGUGAAUCCAAUAUCCAGAUUUGUCAAGUAACCUGCCCGUCCCCAUACCCUAUCCAGUAAUGGGUGCCAAACACACUAUCACCUUGAUACCCCGUCCAGUAUGGAGGUGAACUAGAUUUUCCAAACCUUUUCGGUAUGAGACUUCUCAACCCCAUCCGAUUGAAGCAAUGUCCACAGUAAGUUUUCCUAUAUAUCAGAUCCAUUCACCUUUUUCCAGGGUACCCAAUAAUCCUCUCACAUAGAUUUAAAGCAUAAACUAAUUAUCACUUAUAUACCAAUAACUUAUAUUUACAGAUCAAUAGUAAAUUAUGCAAAUAGGUGAUACGUACAUAAAGAAACAUAAUUGAAAUAUUUAUUGCAAAAUAAACCAACAAAUGGGGGGUAUGUAGUGAGGUAAACCAAAUAACCGAGAGAGCCUUUAAGUCUAUCAAUUCAAUUCACACAAUAUAAUAGUAAAUAUUUUAAGCAGUAUAAGUAAAAUAAACAGUAAACAGAGUAAAGAUUAAUUGACCGGUUCUGACUCUAUUAGUGACUGUAAUUAUUUUUAGAAUUUUUUAAUUUUCAUAAACACAGUAUUAUUGAUUAUUAAUUUUCAAUUUAUGUAACAAGGAAUAGGGUGAGGGAUUUUUACCCCAGAUCAGUAUUCGAAAUACUAUACUGUAUACUGCACUUUCUAGCUCUCCUUAUGUUUCUUGAAUUUUUU